rnacentral:rRNA from 1 species
CUACGGGUGGCUGCAGUGGGGAAUAUUGGACAAUGGGGGAAACCCUGAUCCAGCAAUGCCGCGUGUGUGAAGAAGGCCUGCUGGUUGUAAAGCACUUUCGGUUGGGAGGACUGCUUCUAGCACUAAUAUUGUUGGAAGUUGACGUUACCUUCAGAAGAAGCACCGGCUAACUCCGUGCCAGCAGCCGCGGUAAUACGGAGGGUGCAAGCGUUAAUCGGAAUUACUGGGCGUAAAGCGCGCGUAGGCGGCUAGAUCAGUCGGGUGUGAAAGCCCCGGGCUUAACCUGGGAACUGCAUCCGAUACUGUCUAGCUUGAGUACAGGAGAGGAGAGUGGAAUUCCAGAUGUAGCGGUGAAAUGCGUAGAUAUGUGGAGGAACACCAAUGGCGAAGGCAGCUCUCUGGCCUGAUACUGACGCUGAGGUGCGAAAGCGUGGGGAGCAAGCAGGAUUAGAUACCCCUGUAGUC